AUGAACGCUGGCGGCGUGCCUAAUACAUGCAAGUCGAGCGAACAGACGAGGAGCUUGCUCCUCUGACGUUAGCGGCGGACGGGUGAGUAACACGUGGAUAACCUACCUAUAAGACUGGGAUAACUUCGGGAAACCGGAGCUAAUACCGGAUAAUAUAUUGAACCGCAUGGUUCAAUAGUGAAAGACGGUUUUGCUGUCACUUAUAGAUGGAUCCGCGCCGCAUUAGCUAGUUGGUAAGGUAACGGCUUACCAAGGCAACGAUGCGUAGCCGACCUGAGAGGGUGAUCGGCCACACUGGAACUGAGACACGGUCCAGACUCCUACGGGAGGCAGCAGUAGGGAAUCUUCCGCAAUGGGCGAAAGAUUGACGGAGCAACGACGCGUGAGUGAUGAAGGUCUUCGGAUCGUAAAACUCUGUUAUUAGGGAAGAACAAAUGUGUAAGUAACUAUGCACGUCUUGACGGUACCUAAUCAGAAAGCCACGGCUAACUACGUG
rnacentral:rRNA from 1 species